GCCUGGGUGGCUCAGUCGGUUAAGCGUCCGACUUCAGCUCAGGUCACGAUCUCGCGGUCCGUGGGUUCGAGCCCCGCGUCGGGCU
rfam:Felis catus isolate Cinnamon breed Abyssinian chromosome A1, whole genome shotgun sequence.